UAGGGAAUCUUCCGCAAUGGACGCAAGUCUGACGGAGCAACGCCGCGUGAGUGAAGAAGGAUUUCGGUUCGUAAAACUCUGUUGUUAGAGAAGAACAGCGCAUAGAGUAACUGUUAUGCGUGUGACGGUAUCUAACCAGAAAGCCACGGCUAACUACGUGCCAGCAGCCGCGGUAAUACGUAGGUGGCAAGCGUUGUCCGGAUUUAUUGGGCGUAAAGCGAGCGCAGGCGGUCAAUUAAGUCUGAUGUGAAAGCCCCCGGCUCAACCGGGGAGGGUCAUUGGAAACUGGUUGACUUGAGUGCAGAAGAGGAGAGAGGAAUUCCAUGUGUAGCGGUGAAAUGCGUAGAUAUAUGGAGGAACACCAGUGGCGAAGGCGACUCUCUGGUCUGUAACUGACGCGGAGGCUCGAAAGCGUGGGUAGCAAACAGG
rnacentral:rRNA from 1 species